GUGAGAAUCUGCCCAUUUGUGGGGGAUAACUCGGGGAAACUCGAGCUAAUACCGCAUAAUCCCUACGGGGGAAAGCAGGGGACCUUCGGGCCUUGUGCAGAUGGAUGAGCUCGCGUCGGAUUAGCUUGUUGGUGAGGUAAAGGCUCACCAAGGCGACGAUCCGUAGCUGGUCUGAGAGGAUGAUCAGCCACACCGGGACUGAGACACGGCCCGGACUCCUACGGGAGGCAGCAGUGGGGAAUCUUGGACAAUGGGGGCAACCCUGAUCCAGCCAUGCCGCGUGUGUGAAGAAGGCCUUCGGGUUGUAAAGCACUUUCAGUAGGGAGGAAGGCUUACCGCUAAUAACGGUGAGUACUUGACGUUACCUACAGAAGAAGCACCGGCUAAUUUCGUGCCAGCAGCCGCGGUAAUACGAAAGGUGCGAGCGUUAAUCGGAAUUACUGGGCGUAAAGCGCGCGUAGGCGGUUUGUUAAGUCAGAUGUGAAAGCCCCGGGCUCAACCUGGGAAU
rnacentral:rRNA from 1 species